rnacentral:rRNA from 1 species
CCUACGGGAGGCAGCAGUGGGGAAUAUUGCACAAUGGGGGAAACCCUGAUGCAGCGACGCCGCGUGAAGGAAGAAGUAUUUCGGUAUGUAAACUUCUAUCAGCAGGGAAGAAAAUGACGGUACCUGACUAAGAAGCCCCGGCUAACUACGUGCCAGCAGCCGCGGUAAUACGUAGGGGGCAAGCGUUAUCCGGAUUUACUGGGUGUAAAGGGAGCGUAGGCGGUUUAGCAAGUCAGAAGUGAAAGCCCGGGGCUCAACUCCGGGACUGCUUUUGAAACUGUGGAACGAGAGUGCAGGAGAGGUAAGUGGAAUUCCUAGUGUAGCGGUGAAAUGCGUAGAUAUUAGGAGGAACACCAGUGGCGAAGGCGGCUUACUGGACUGUAAAUGACGCUGAGGCUCGAAAGCGUGGGGAGCAAACAGGAUUAGAUACCCUAGUAGUC